GGAGUUAGCCGGUGCUUCUUCUGUGAGUGAUGUCCUUCCUGCCGGUUAUUGACCCGCAGGCCUUCUUCCUCACUGAAAGUGCUUUACAACCCGAAGGCCUUCUUCACACACGCGGCAUGGCUGGAUCAGGGUUGCCCCCAUUGUCCAAUAUUCCCCACUGCUGCCUCCCGUAGGAGUCUGGGCCGUGUCUCAGUCCCAGUGUGGCUGAUCAUCCUCUCAGACCAGCUACGGAUCGUCGCCUUGGUGAGCCGUUACCUCACCAACCAGCUAAUCCGACAUAGGCUCAUCCGAUAGCGCGAGGCCCGAAGGUCCCCCGCUUUCCCCCGUAGGGCGUAUGCGGUAUUAGCCUGGGUUUCCCCAGGUUAUCCCCCGACUACCGGGCAGAUUCCUAUGCAUUACUCACCCGUCCGCCGCUCGCCACCAGGGAGCAAGCUCCCCGUGCUGCCGCUCGACUUGCAUGUGUUAGGCCUGCCGCCAGCGUUCAAUCUGAGCCAGAAUCGAACCCUGA
rnacentral:rRNA from 1 species